UUCUGAAGAAAAAUAAAUUCAGCGCUUACAAUCCCUAUUCCGCUAAAACUCUCAGCUCGAGAGAAACCGUCAUUGCAAACCCUAAAUUAUCUAAAAUCAACUACUUCCCAUCUGCAAAUCCGAAAUCGCCAUUGAUGUUCAGUGGUGGGAACAAGACUGAAUUUCACUAGAAAUUGCUGAGAUUUUGAAGCGUAUAAUCCUCAAUUGUCUGCUGAAAAUUCUGGGCUAGAGGUAUAGCAACUUGGGUGCCUGGCUUCAUGGUGAAGACACGAUAUCAAAGAUUAUAGCAGUAGGAGAUGGUGAUAAUGUUCCUUCAAGUUCCAGGAAAAAGAGUCAUGUCUUUGCUGAUUUAUUCGGUUCAUUGUGCUAUACAUUCCAGCAUGUACGGAAAGUUCAGAAAGUAGUAUGGGGAUCAAACUAGGAUCGACGCUUGUUUGAACAUCAAUUCAGCUGCUUCUUUUGCUGAAAGUUUCUCAAGCAUAUUCAGAUUAGGUUGUUGAAUUGAAGUGUUCAAAUAUCGUCAUGCUACAACUGCAGGUGUUAGACUUGAUUCUUGGUAGAAGAAGCUUAAUCUCCAUUGGAUCCUUACAACAGACCAUGGAGAUAGGAAGGUGCGCCAUGAUUACAAAUCCCACAAAAGAGACACAUGAGGAGCUUGGCUUGACAAGACCUUGCAGGAUUCCUUUCCCACAAAGCAGUGAAAUUUGCGGUUGUUUGAGAAAUUUGCGUACCCCUAUCUUCGCCUAGAUUAAACGUAAAGAGGCCUUACUAUUUCGAGGGGAGAGCAAGUGCGUAAAAUUUUUGAGGAAUGACGGCUGUGACAUAGUCUUUCGUGGGUUAUCGAUGUUUCACCUUAUUUGAGUUCUACAAAUUUGAGGGGAAGAAUAUUAUCGUGAAACCGACUUGGGUUGAAUGAUCGAAUCCUUGUAUUAUAGCAGUUAAUAUAAACAACAUAUUUCUUAAGACGAGGAGUUAAAAUAUGUUCAUCUUGCUUUGGGGGUUAAAGAGAGCUCUAGAGCAUGACACAUCUUCCUUCGAUGCAGAUCAUCUACAAAAUUACACAGGUCUGGUGAUGCUGACCCAGAACAUUAGCAUGUGUCCCUUGCUGAGAAUUUCAGAUGACACAUAAUUCUCAAGUCUAACAAUUUCAGAACGAUACCAGAAACCAUUCAGAUAUCGAAGAAAGCCUCUAGGAUAAUGGUCGAAAAUGAAAUCAUAUCAUUCACUAAAAAGGGUCUAGUUCUAGCAUUAGCCCUUGCUGGCUACUCUAUGAUGUUGCUGUUUUGACAGACGUCAGGACAUGCCUUCCUGUAGAAUGAACAACAUGUUGCUUCUGAGGAACUGAAGACUCCAAGAGGACAAUUUGAAGAACUGUUCAGAAUAAGGCAUGUCUGGCAAGGAAGAAGUCAAGUGCUGCAGUUCAGUUAGCAAAAGAAUGAUGCAGUCGAGUAUUGGGAAGACAGUAGAGUCGAGAAAAGGGUUUAGGACAUGUUUUAGGCUUUAGUAAUUUUGUAUAAGUUUUAAGCUUUAGUUAGUACGGAAUAGAUACUAUUUGUAAUAAUUUAUGAUGGUGUUGCAGACAAAAUUGGCUAACAUUUCUUCUUUAGAGAUGUCAACUAUAUUAAAAGUUAUAUGUUUUAAGUAGAUUGUUUAAAUUUUGCAGGUGUAAAUGUUGCUUUUAUGUAUUGUAUAUUAUUACUGAUUUUAUUAUGCUUUAUUUAAAA